GCCAGGCACAGUGGUGUGUGCCUGUAAUCCCAGCUACUCAGGAGGCUGAGGCAGGUAAAUUGCUUGAACCCGGGAGGCAGAGGUUGCAGUGAGCAGAGAUCAUGCCACUGCACUCCAGCCUGGGUGACAGAGCAAGACUCUGUCUCAA
rfam:Pan troglodytes isolate Yerkes chimp pedigree #C0471 (Clint) chromosome 1, whole genome shotgun sequence.